rnacentral:rRNA from 1 species
AGCUCUUGACAUGUCCCGUAUGAGUACCAGAGAUGGAACUCUUCAGUUCGGCUGGCGGGAACACAGGUGCUGCAUGGCUGUCGUCAGCUCGUGUCGUGAGAUGUUGGGUUAAGUCCCGCAACGAGCGCAACCCUCGCCCUUAGUUGCCAUCAUUUAGUUGGGCACUCUAAGGGGACUGCCGGUGAUAAGCCGCGAGGAAGGUGGGGAUGACGUCAAGUCCUCAUGGCCCUUACGGGCUGGGCUACACACGUGCUACAAUGGCGGUGACAAUGGGAUGCAAUGGGGCAACCCUGCGCAAAUCUCAAAAAGCCGUCUCAGUUCGGAUUGUGCUCUGCAACUCGAGCACAUGAAGUUGGAAUCGCUAGUAAUCGCAGAUCAGCACGCUGCGGUGAAUACGUUCCC